rnacentral:rRNA from 1 species
AACGAACGCUGGCGGCAUGCCUAACACAUGCAAGUCGAACGAGAACUUCGGGUCUAGGUGCGCACGGGUGGGUAAGGCGUGGGAACCUACCCGUAGGUUAGGAAUAACUGCCCGAAAGGGGUGCUAAUAACAGUUAAUGUAUUCGGGGCAAAGAGUUAUCGCUGUUGGAUGGGGGCGCGUUGGUUUGGCUGGUUGGUAGUGUAAAAGCCUACCAAGGCGACGUUCCAUAGCUGGUCUGAGAGGAUGCUCAGCCACACUGGGACUGAGACACGGCCCAGACUCCUACGCGGGGGAGGAGUGGGGAAUAUUGGGCAAUGGGCCAAAGCGUGAUCCAGCAAUGCCGGGUGAGAGGUGAAGGCGUUAGGGUUGUAAAGCUCUUUUUCCCGAGAUGAUAAUGACAGUACCGGGAAAAUAAGCACCGGCUAACUCCGUG